CCCUCGUUAAAGCCCUCAUCCCUCGCUGAAGCCCUCGUCAAAUCCCUAACUAAAGCUGAACGCCAGCGAUUCUCCAUGCCAUAGCACCAAAGCGUCCUCACGAUUCUCCUUGUUGAAGCCGGAAGCCCUCCUCGUCGGGUCUUCGCUCUCUCGGUACGACGACUACGGGCGCAUCUCUGCUCUCUCAAAGACGUUGAAGACCUCCUCGCCAUGCCUUUCCUUCCUCAUUGCGAUGACUACUGGCCCUCUCUGGCUCUCUCAAAGGUCUUUCUGAUGUUCUCUUCGUUCUUCUAGGUUUGUUGAUGUUAAAAAUAAGAGUUAUGGAGGUCGGCCUGAAACAUACAAGCCAUUGCUUAGCUGAUGGGAAGGGAAUCUCGAACCCAUUGGGUUUUGAAGCUUUCUCAAUUUUCUUGACAAGCUAACUGGAAAUGAACAAGUGUAAUUCACACUGAUCGAUGGUGGGAAGUUGUAACAGCUGGAAGACUCAUAUCAUGUUCCUGUUGCAGAGUGUAGAGCAGCUUAUUUUCAAUUAGCCUGUUGAAAGACAAAUGAAACAUGUUAGAUGUAACAAAUGCAUACCGAGAAUGGUUGUACAUACACCAAAUGCAUAAAUAUCAUAGUGUAAACUUAUUUUUUAUUGUCUAUACUGCAACAAUGUUUAUAUCAUAUUGCAAGGAGGAAAAACAUGUUGGAUGUCAUGAA